rnacentral:rRNA from 1 species
AGAGUUUGAUCCUGGCUCAGAAUGAACGCUGGCAGCAUGGAUUAGGCAUGCAAGUCGAGCGGGAUCCAACAGCUUGCUGUUGGUGAGAGCGGCGCAAGGGUGAGUAACGCGUGAGUAAUCUUCCCCGAAGUCCGGGAUAGCCCGAGGAAACUCGGAUUAAUACCGGAUGUUGUACAUCUAACGCCUGUUUGAUGUACCAAAGAUUCAUUGCUUUGGGAUGAGCUCGCGUACCAUCAGCUUGUUGGUGAGGUAACGGCUCACCAAGGCUUCGACGGUUAGGUGGUCUGAGAGGACGAUCACCCACACUGGGACUGAGACACUGCCCAGACUCCUACGGGAGGCUGCAGUCGAGAAUCUUCCGCAAUGGGGGCAACCCUGACGGAGCGAUGCUGCGUGCCGGAUGAAGGCCUUCGGGUCGUAAACGGCUGUCACUCGGGACGAAUUUUUGACGGUACCGAGAGAGGAAGCCACGGCUAACUACGUGCCAGCAGCCGCGGUAAUACGUAGGUGGCGAGCGUUAUUCGGAUUUAUUGGGCGUAAAGGGUCCGUAGGGGGUUGCGCAUGUCUGAUGUGAAAUCUCAAGGCUCAACUUUGAAACUGCAUUGGAAACUGUGCGACUUGAGUAUCGGAGAGGUAAGUGGAAUUCCUGGUGUAGCGGUGGAAUGCGUAGAUAUCAGGAAGAACACCGAUGGCGAAGGCAGCUUACUGGACGAUAACUGACCCUGAUGGACGAAAGCUGGGGGAGCAAACAGGAUUAGAUACCCUGGUAGUCCCAGCUGUAAACGUUGUGCACUAGGUGUAGGCGGAUUUGGUCCCGUCUGUGCCCGAGCUAACGCGUUAAGUGCACCGCCUGGGGAGUACGGCCGCAAGGCUAAAACUCAAAGGAAUUGACGGGGGGCCGCACAAGCGGUGGAGCAUGUGGCUUAAUUCGAGGCAACGCGAAGAACCUUACCUGGGCUUGACAUAUAGCUGACCGCCCUGGAAACAGGGUUUCUCUUCGGAGCGGUUAUACAGGUGCUGCAUGGCUGUCGUCAGCUCGUGCCGUGAGGUGUUCGGUUAAGUCCGGCAACGAGCGCAACCCAUGCUGCCAGUUACCAGCGAGUAAAGUCGGGGACUCUGGCAGGACUGCCCGUGCUAAGCGGGAGGAAGGCGUGGACGACGUCAAGUCCGUAUGGCCCUUACGCCCAGGGCUGCACACGUGCUACAAUGGCCGGUACAGAGGGACGCCACCUCGCGAGAGGGAGCCAAUCCCGAAAACCGGCCCCAGUUCGGAUUGGAGUCUGCAACUCGACUCCAUGAAGUCGGAAUCGCUAGUAAAGGGGUAUCAGCAACGGCCCCUUGAAUACGUUCCCGGGCCUUGUACACACCGCCCGUCACAUCAUGGAAGCUGGCUGCACCCGAAGUCACUGACCCAACCCUUUUGGGAGGGAGGUGCCGAAGGUGUGGCUAGUAACUGGGAUGAAGUCGUAACAAGGUA